rnacentral:rRNA from 1 species
UGCGUAGGGGGCAAGCGUUGUCCGGAAUCAUUGGGCGUAAAGCGCGUGUAGGCGGCUUGGUAAGUCCGCUCUGAAAGCCCGGGGCUCAACCCCGGGAGGCGGGUGGAUACUGUCAAGCUCGAGUCCGGAAGAGGCGAGUGGAAUUCCUGGUGUAGCGGUGAAAUGCGCAGAUAUCAGGAGGAACACCAAUGGCGAAGGCAGCUCGCUGGGACGUGACUGACGCUGAGACGCGAAAGCGUGGGGAGCGAACAGG